GAUGAACGCUAGCGGCAGGCCUAACACAUGCAAGUCGAGGGAGGAGCUUUCGGGCUUCGACCGGCGUACGGGUGCGUAACGCGUAUACAAUCUGCCUUUCACAUAUGUAUAGCCCGAAGAAAUUUGGAUUAAUACCUAAUGGUAUAUAGAGGUGGCAUCACCUUUAUAUUAAAGCUGAGGCGGUGAAAGAUGAGUAUGCGUUCUAUUAGCUAGUUGGAGAGGUAACGGCUCCCCAAGGCGACGAUAGAUAGGGGUUCUGAGAGGGAUAUCCCCCACACUGGUACUGAGAUACGGACCAGACUCCUACGGGAGGCAGCAGUGAGGAAUAUUGGACAAUGGUCGGAAGACUGAUCCAGCCAUGCCGCGUGCAGGAAGACGGCCUUAUGGGUUGUAAACUGCUUUUGCAGGGGAAGAAUAAGGACUACGCGUAGUUUGAUGACGGUACUCUGCGAAUAAGCAUCGGCUAACUCCGUG
rnacentral:rRNA from 1 species